UACGUAGGGUGCAAGCGUUAAUCGGAAUUACUGGGCGUAAAGCGUGCGCAGGCGGUUUUGUAAGUCUGACGUGAAAUCCCCGGGCUCAACCUGGGAAUUGCGUUGGAGACUGCAAGGCUAGAGUUUGGCAGAGGGGGGCAGAAUUCCACGUGUAGCAGUGAAAUGCGUAGAUAUGUGGAGGAACACCGAUGGCGAAGGCAGCCCCCUGGGUCAAGACUGACGCUCAUGCACCAAAGCGUGGGGAGCAAACAGG
rnacentral:rRNA from 1 species